rnacentral:rRNA from 1 species
UACAGAGGGUGCAAGCGUUGUUCGGAAUUAUUGGGCGUAAAGCGCGUGUAGGCGGCUUUGCAAGUCGGGUGUGAAAGCCCUCAGCUUAACUGAGGAAGUGCGCCCGAAACUGCUUGGCUUGAGUACCGGAGAGGAUGGCGGAAUUCCCCAAGUAGAGGUGAAAUUCGUAGAUAUGGGGAGGAACACCAGUGGCGAAGGCGACUACCUGGCCUGUUCUUGACGCUGAGGCGCGAAAGCUAGGGGAGCAAACGGG